rnacentral:rRNA from 1 species
AUUGAACGCUGGCGGCAGGCCUAACACAUGCAAGUCGAGCGGAUGAAGGGAGCUUGCUCCUGGAUUCAGCGGCGGACGGGUGAGUAAUGCCUAGGAAUCUGCCUGGUAGUGGGGGAUAACGUCCGGAAACGGGCGCUAAUACCUCAUACGUCCUGAGGGAGAAAGUGGGGGAUCUUCGGACCUCACGCUAUCAGAUGAGCCUAGGUCGGAUUAGCUAGUUGGUGGGGUAAAGGCCUACCAAGGCGACGAUCCGUAACUGGUCUGAGAGGAUGAUCAGUCACACUGGAACUGAGACACGGUCCAGACUCCUAAGGGAGGCAGCAGUGGGGAAUAUUGGACAAUGGGCGAAAGCCUGAUCCAGCCAUGCCGCGUGUGUGAAGAAGGUCUUCGGAUUGUAAAGCACUUUAAGUUGGGAGGAAGGGCAGUAAGUUAAUACCUUGCUGUUUUGACGUUACCAACAGAAUAAGCACCGGCUAACUUCGUG